CGGACACUCCUGGUCAUCUCCCUCCAGAUCCUUACUAGGUCCGAGAAGUGAAACUACAAUACCAGCUUCCAAAGAGCAAAUGAAAAACACACAGAGUGACUUAAGCCAAAGGAAGUUAAUGGUACAUCUAUGAGGAGAGGAAGCCUUGCAACUGAUUUUUACUGUGCUCGUCUUUUACUGUAGGAGUCGUGGGCUCAGAGCCAGAUUAGCUGAUUACGGCAAAGGAGCAAAACUUUCGUGGGAACACUGACUACUAAAUUGAAAGAAACUUAUAGAAAUACCUGGGAUCUUGAUGAUGAUGACAACUUGUGAAAGCAGUGAAGUAAGUUCGUUGUGGAAGAAGAAACAGAUCAAAAGGAAAUAAAACCACG